AUUUAAAUAUUUCGUUUGAUCAAACGUUUUAUGAAAUAUGUCUAAAACACGGCUUGUUUUAAUAAUUUUAGAAACGUUAGAAUGUAACGUAUUCUAAUGGUUUAGAAAUUCAGUUUAAAACAGAUAACGUUAAUAUGAGGAAGAAACGUGUACGUUUUAAAUAAAUAAUCGUUUGUUGUAAAAGUUGAAAUCAAACUGAUGCUUUUAAUAUCAUGUUUAGAUCAUGAAACUUUAGCCUUGAGUUCACAGACAGGGUGUGAACUCUCAUUUGGUCUGUAAGUUACAGACAUUUUUAUCUUUUUCAAAUGUUUUUGAUGAUGCCCACUUAAAUCACAGUUUUGGCUCUUUUCCUCAGACCCUGAUGGAUAAAAGAUGGAUAUUUUUUUCCUGGAGAAGCUAAAACAAUGUCACUUUGAGGUUCUGAAACCAGCUUUUACAAAGUUAUUUACAGCUAUUUGAAACUUGGGCACUGCAUUUUACAGACAGAAUCCUGCAACUUCCCAGCCAAGAACCAGGAGCAUCAACAAAUCACCUACAGAACCCCAUGAUGAUAUUCCAACUCCUGUCUACAAAAGUGGGAAGAAAAUCUUAAGUUUAUGUUGGGACCAACAUGGUUGCAUUCUUCUGAGAGGCUGAGGUGACAAAACCAUUCCCAUUUGUCCUUGGAUUGGAAGAUGACGAUCUCUGCCAUCAAGCCUUCGUUGUUUUUGACAGACAGUCACUCCAGCAAUACACCCUCUUUGGUGAUGUUGACAUGUUUUAAACUUUUUUUAUGUUUUGGACAUUAAUUUUACUAAGCAGUGCACAUCAGUGUGGGUGUUUUUGAAGACUGUUGUUUACAAACUCCCAAGAACGGAAUCCCUUUCUAUAAGAAGUCUGUGUAGUUAUUUGUCAUGCUAGGGUGAUAACUCAUGUUGAUCAUAUAUUGACUGUUUGUGCAACUUAGUGUUGAUCUUAUGUGUUACAUUAACCAUUUCUUAUUACACGGUUCUCUAAAAUGCUAGAUUCUGAUUGGCCAGUUGAGACAUUCUACUACUGCUCAAAACUAAAAACUCUAAUGCUGCAAAUCAUUUUGACAGGUACAGUUUUUUAUUACACAAAAAUUAAAUAUCAAUGUCUAUUAAUUACAUAUCCGACAUUAAAUUUACAAAUGAAUAAACCAAUGUGUUUGUGACAUUUGUCCUGAAGAAACUGUUGGGGCUUUUUUCUGUGAUGACAUGCUGCCAAUACAUUAUCCCUUACUUGUACAACUUUUUACUUGAUGUAAUUGUAAUGUUAACCGGGUAUCUGUCAUUUUAGAUUGUGAGAUAUAAUACUAAUAUAUUUUUUUUAUUAGAAAGUUGAUUGUUUGUGUAGGGCUAUGUACUCUUUUAUUGUUCAUGUGGAAUAAAUAUGCUUUUUCAAUUAAAUCUAUGCUUUGUUAUUUAUAGACACCACAAUGAAAGGUAUGAAAGCAAUUUAAACCACAAAAUUUCAGCUUUAAACACAUUAACCAAACGUUGGGUUGUUUCAACCCAACAAAAAGUUAUUUCUACCCAACAGAUGGGUUAAAAAAUCAACCCAACUGGUUGGGUUGAUUGUACAACCCAACUUGUUGGGUUAAAAUAACCCAGUGUUGGGUUGGUCCAUAUUUAACCCAAUGUUGGGUUGCAAAACAACCCAAGUUGGGUUAAUUUUAACCCAACGUUUUUUAGA